rnacentral:rRNA from 1 species
UGAAUACGAGGCUCUAAGGUGCUGAAGUAGUGUAUGUCAUACUUCCAAGAAAAGCUUGCACUAUCGUAAGAUAAAAAUGCCUGUACCAUAACCGACACAGGUGGGUAGGUAGAGUAUACUAAGGGGCGCGAGAUAACUCUCUCUAAGGAACUCGGCAAAAUAACUCCGUAACUUCGGGAGAAGGAGUGCCUUAUUCUAUAAGGUUGCAAUAACAAGAUCCAAGCAACUGUUUAUCAAAAACACAGGUCUCCGCUAAGUCGUAAGACGAUGUAUGGGGGCUGACGCCUGCCCAGUGCCAGAAGGUUAAAGAAGUCGGUUAGCAAUUGCGAAGCUGGUAACUGAAGCCCUGGUGAACGGCGGCCGUAACUAUAACGGUCCUAAGGUAGCGAAAUUCCUUGUCGGGUAAGUUCCGACCCGCACGAAAGGCGUAAUGAUUUUGAUACUGUCUCGGAGAGGGACUCGGUGAAAUAGACUUGUCUGUGAAGAUGCGGACUACCUGCACCAGGACAGAGAGACCCUAUGAAGCUUUACUGUAACUUGAAAUUGAAAUUGGACUUUAUUCGCGCAGUAUAGGUGGGAGGCGUUGAUUAUAAUCUUGUGGGAUUAUUGGAGCCAUUAGUCAGAUACCACUCUUGUAAUGUUAGAUUUCUAACUUUGAAUCAUGAUCUGGUCAAAGAACAGUUUCAGGCGGGCAGUUUGACUGGGGCGGUCGCCUCCUAAAUGGUAACGGAGGCGUACAAAGGUUUCCUCUGAACGGGUAGAAAUCGUAUCUAGAGUGUAAAGGCAUAAGGAAGCUUGACUGUGAGACCUACAAGUCGAGCAGGGACGAAAGUCGGUCUUAGUGAUCUGACGGUACUGAGUGGAAAGGCCGUCACUCAACGGAUAAAAGUUACUCUAAGGAUAACAGGCUGAUCUCCCCCAAGAGUUCACAUCGACGGGGAGGUUUGGCACCUCGAUGUCGGCUCUCGCAUCCUGGGGCGGUAGUACGUCCCAAGGGUUGGGCUGUUCGCCCAUGAAAGCGGUACGCGAGCUGGGUUCAGAACGUCGUGAGACAGUUCGGUCCAUAUCCGGUGUAGGCGUUAGAAUAUUGAGAGGAGCCUUCUUUAGUACGAGAGGACCGAGAAGGACAUACCUCUGGUGUACCAGUUAUCGUGCCAACGGUAAACGCUGGGUAGCUAUGUAUGGAGUGGAUAACCGCUGAAAGCAUCUAAGUGGGAAGCCCACCUCAAGAUAAG